rnacentral:rRNA from 1 species
CGGYCGUGGAGAAACAUCCAGGACCACUCCUGUCCGAGGGCCG